UACGAAGGGGGCUAGCGUUGCUCGGAAUUACUGGGCGUAAAGCGCACGUAGGCGGUUCGUUAAGUCGGAUGUGAAAGCCCUCGGCUCAACUGAGGAAGUGCACCCGAAACUGGCGAGCUUGAGUACGAAAGAGGAUCGCGGAAUUCCCGGUGUAGAGGUGAAAUUCGUAGAUAUCGGGAGGAACACCGGUGGCGAAGGCGGCGAUCUGGGUCGAUACUGACGCUGAGGUGCGAAAGCGUGGGGAGCAAACAGG
rnacentral:rRNA from 1 species